UACGGAGGGUGCAAGCGUUAUCCGGAUUUACUGGGCUUAAAGGGUGCGUAGGUGGGUCUGUAAGUCAGUGGUGAAAUCUCCGAGCUUAACUCGGAAACUGCCAUUGAUACUAUAGGUCUUGAAUUAUCUGGAGGUGAGCGGAAUAUGUCAUGUAGCGGUGAAAUGCUUAGAUAUGACACAGAACACCGAUUGCGAAGGCAGCUCACUAAACUGUAACUGACGCUGAGGCACGAAAGCGUGGGGAGCAAACAGG
rnacentral:rRNA from 1 species